UUUCCAACAUUAGCAUUUGAGCACUUAAGAAUAUUGAUAUUAUUAUUGUCUAUAUAAAAGAAAUAUCAAAUUAGCAUUCACAAUUUCUCUAUAUUUUACGUCGUCGUUACGACGACGAUCGUCUCCGGUGAGUUCUAACAGUUUUCAGACGAGGAAGAUGAUCACUUCAUGCACCAAUCCUCCAUCAAAUCUGACAAUUUCCGAAGCCUCGAUGCUGAUGAAUCUGAGUUAGAGAUUGAGAUAACCAACAAUGGCCGUUCCAAGGACAUCAAUGUAUCUAGACCCGACGAUGCUCCUUUCCACGACAAAAAUGAUGGUGGUUCAAUUGAUCGCAUCUUUCAUCGGACCUCUCGUCACGAGGAAGAGGGGAAGAAGAAGAAGAUUCAUUUGCUCCAGGAUAGUUGUCGCAUCUGAUUUAUAUCAGGGAAACACGUCUCUUGCCGGAAACCAUAUGAACCAACAUAGAAAAAAACAGGAGAAACUUUUUUUAGAGCCAUGGAUGUGCCUAGCUCUUGGGAUGCUUUAUGGAAACAGUUUUCAUGUGAAUCCCACAUGAUAGAAAGAUUGAAGUUCAGCUCGACGAGCAUAUGCAUUCUUAUC